CAAAAGCAUAGCGUGGAGCUCUCCCAUCAAAGUAGUAUUAGUGACUCCAACCCGCUCUGCAACAGCCGCAAUAAUCGACCCCAAAUGAUGUCUAAUAAUAAAGGCGCCUCGGAGGAACCCACCUCUUAUCACCUUCCUUAGGUAGGUAGCAGCUGCAGCUGCACUCGAGCUUCACCAAAGAGUUCACAAUAGUCAAUCAUCUCUAAUCCCUCGUGCACAUAAUUAUCAUGCUUUACAUCACAGAGGAGACGCCAUAUCCACCAAAAGCAAAUACAUAAAUGUGAUCUUGUCUUUUCAAAACCGCCACCAAGCAGAAUUCUUCCAUUGCUUCUUAACAGAUUCCCAGAAGAUUAAGCAAUGCACAAUGGUUCCCCAAUCUCUGCGACACCAAAAACAAAUGCCUAAUUGACAAUCAAGUAAACUGAAUUUAGGAUUAAUU
rnacentral:lncRNA from 1 species